rnacentral:rRNA from 1 species
AUUGAACGCUGGCGGCAGGCUUAACACAUGCAAGUCGAGCGGGGUGAUGGUGCUUGCACUAUCACUUAGCGGCGGACGGGUGAGUAAUGCUUAGGAAUCUGCCUAUUAGUGGGGGACAACACCUCGAAAGGGAUGCUAAUACCGCAUACGUCCUACGGGAGAAAGCAGGGGAUCACUUGUGACCUUGCGCUAAUAGAUGAGCCUAAGUCGGAUUAGCUAGUUGGUGGGGUAAAGGCCUACCAAGGCGACGAUCUGUAGCGGGUCUGAGAGGAUGAUCCGCCACACUGGGACUGAGACACUGCCCGGACUCCUACGGGAGGCAGCAGUGGGGAAUAUUGGACAAUGGGGGGAACCCUGAUCCAGCCAUGCCGCGUGUGUGAAGAAGGCCUUAUGGUUGUAAAGCACUUUAAGCGAGGAGGAGGCUCUUUUGGUUAAUACCCAAGAUGAGUGGACGUUACUCGCAGAAUAAGCACCGGCUAACUCUGUGCCAGCAGCCGCCGUAA